rnacentral:rRNA from 1 species
UUUAAUAGUCGAACAGACUAACUUACGUAGCUACUACACUAGGCAGCACCUUUAAUUCAACAUCGAGGUCACAAGAUCUUUUAUCAAUUAGGCCUGUCUAAAAGCAUUGUGCUGUUAUCCCUGAGGUAACUACUCUUUUACUUGUUUAAGAUCUUAAAUUCACUAUUAGGUUGAGGUGUAAGCUGGAUAUGUUAGUUUACCGCCCCAGUAGGGCCCAAUGAUAUCAAAGACUCAAAUUGUUGAAGUCAAAGCCAUCUACAAGCCAGCUCUGCAGGGUCUUAUCUUCCCACUGGUUAAGCUUGAAGCUUUAAUCAAACCCUUAAGUUAUACCACUACAGGAUUACAAGUCGUCUUUCAUGAACCCCUUCAUUCGAGACCCCAAUCAAGAGCCAAAUUAUUAUGCUACCUUUGCACAGUUAAGG